GCUUAACACAUGCAAGUCGAGGGGCAUCAGGAAGAAAGCUUGCUUUCUUUGCUGGCGACCGGCGCACGGGUGAGUAACACGUAUCCAACCUGCCCUUUACUCGGGGAUAGCCUUUCGAAAGAAAGAUUAAUACCCGAUGGCAUAAUGAUUCCGCAUGGUUUCAUUAUUAAAGGAUUCCGGUAAAGGAUGGGGAUGCGUUCCAUUAGGUUGUUGGUGAGGUAACGGCUCACCAAGCCUUCGAUGGAUAGGGGUUCUGAGAGGAAGGUCCCCCACAUUGGAACUGAGACACGGUCCAAACUCCUACGGGAGGCAGCAGUGAGGAAUAUUGGUCAAUGGGCGCUAGCCUGAACCAGCCAAGUAGCGUGAAGGAUGAAGGCUCUAUGGGUCGUAAACUUCUUUUAUAUAAGAAUAAAGUGCAGUAUGUAUACUGUUUUGUAUGUAUUAUAUGAAUAAGGAUCGGCUAACUCCGUGCCAGCAGCCGCGGUAAUACGGAGGAUCCGAGCGUUAUCCGGAUUUAUUGGAUUUAAAGGGAGCGUAGGUGGACUGGUAAGUCAGUUGUGAAAGUUUGCGGCUCAACCGUAAAAUUGCAGUUGAUACUGUCAGUCUUGAGUACAGUAGAGGUGGGCGGAAUUCGUGGUGUAGCGGUGAAAUGCUUAGAUAUCACGAAGAACUCCGAUUGCGAAGGCAGCUCACUGGACUGCAACUGACACUGAUGCUCGAAAGUGUGGGUAUCAAACAGGAUUAGAUACCCUGGUAGUCCACACAGUAAACGAUGAAUACUCGCUGUUUGCGAUAUACAGUAAGCGGCCAAGCGAAAGCAUUAAGUAUUCCACCUGGGGAGUACGCCGGCAACGGUGAAACUCAAAGGAAUUGACGGGGGCCCGCACAAGCGGAGGAACAUGUGGUUUAAUUCGAUGAUACGCGAGGAACCUUACCCGGGCUUAAAUUGCAGUGGAAUGAUGUGGAAACAUGUCAGUGAGCAAUCACCGCUGUGAAGGUGCUGCAUGGUUGUCGUCAGCUCGUGCCGUGAGGUGUCGGCUUAAGUGCCAUAACGAGCGCAACCCUUAUCUUUAGUUACUAACAGGUUAUGCUGAGGACUCUAGAGAGACUGCCGCCGUAAGAUGUGAGGAAGGUGGGGAUGACGUCAAAUCAGCACGGCCCUUACGUCCGGGGCUACACACGUGUUACAAUGGGGGGUACAGAAGGCAGCUAGCGGGUGACCGUAUGCUAAUCCCAAAAGCCUCUCUCAGUUCGGAUCGAAGUCUGCAACCCGACUUCGUGAAGCUGGAUUCGCUAGUAAUCGCGCAUCAGCCACGGCGCGGUGAAUACGUUCCCGGGCCUUGUACACACCGCCCGUCAAGCCAUGGGAGCCGGGGGUACCUGAAGUACGUAACCGCAAGGAUCGUCCUAGGGUAAAACUGGUGACUGGGGCUAAGUCG
rnacentral:rRNA from 1 species